GGACUUUGAAAGACAUAGAGUCUGGAUUAAAAUGAGAAAUGGACUGGACUUGUCUCUGUUUCUCAUCAUUGAGGACCAUAUUAUAGAUACUGUCAAGGGUAGGAGGAGGCUGCAUCAUCAAUAAGUUACUCCUUACCCCCAUGUAUGCUUCAUUAAGGCCCAUGAGGAACUGGAACACCUUAUUCUCAUCAUCUUCCUGUGUGAUGCCAUUUCUGGCAGGAAAAAUGCAUC
rnacentral:lncRNA from 1 species